GCGCUGCCAUCUUCCAUCCAAUUGGCAAGAUGGCCGAGUUGGUCUAAGGCGCACGGUUCAGGUCAACCUGAUCCCGAUGGUAUACAACUGUCUCCGUGUCUCGAAAGGGGCGUGGGUUCAAAUCCCACUCUUGUCAU
rnacentral:tRNA from 1 species